rnacentral:rRNA from 1 species
CCUACGGGAGGCAGCAGUGAGGAAUAUUGGUCAAUGGACGAGAGUCUGAACCAGCCAAGUAGCGUGAAGGAUGACUGCCCUAUGGGUUGUAAACUUCUUUUAUAUGGGAAUAAAAUGUUCCACGUGUGGGAUUUUGUAUGUACCAUGUGAAUAAGGAUCGGCCAACUCCGUGCCAGCAGCCGCGGUAAUACGGCGGAUCCGAGCGUUAGCCGGAUUGAUUGGGGUUAAAGGGAGCGUAGGUGGAUUGUUAAGUCAGUUGUGAAAGUUUGCGGCUCAACCGUAAAAUUGCAGUUGAAACUGGCAGUCUUGAGUACAGUAGAGGUGGGCGGAAUUCGUGGUGUAGCGGUGAAAUGCUUAGAUAUCACGAAGAACUCCGAUUGCGAAGGCAGCUCACUGGACUGCAACUGACACUGAGGCUCGAAAGUGUGGGUAUCAAACAGGAUUAGAUACCCGGGUAGUC